AUUGAACGCUGGCGGCAGGCCUAACACAUGCAAGUCGAGCGAGCGGCGGACGGGUGCGUAAUGUCUGGGAAACUGCCUGAUGGAGGGGGAUAACUACUGGAAACGGUAGCUAAUACCGCAUAACAUCAGUUGUGCACAGGUGGGAUUAGCUAGUAGGUGGGGGAAUGGCUCACCUAGACGACGAUCCCUAGCAGGUCUGAGAGGAUGACCAGCCACACGGGAACUGAGCCACGGUCCAGACUCCUACGGGAGGCAGCCGUAGGAAAUAUUCCACAAUGGGCGCAAGCCUGAUGCAGCCAGGCCGCGUGUGUGAAGAAGGCCUUCGGGUUGUAAAGCACUUUCGUUAAGGAGGCGUUACUCAAAGAAGAAGCCCCGGCUAACUCCGUGCCAGCAGCCGCGGUAAUAC
rnacentral:rRNA from 1 species